rnacentral:rRNA from 1 species
GACGAACGCUGGCGGCGUGCUUAACACAUGCAAGUCGAACGGAAAGGCCCUGCUUUUGUGGGGUGCUCGAGUGGCGAACGGGUGAGUAACACGUGAGUAACCUGCCCUUGACUUUGGGAUAACUUCAGGAAACUGGGGCUAAUACCGGAUAGGAGCUCCUGCUGCAUGGUGGGGGUUGGAAAGUUUCGGCGGUUGGGGAUGGACUCGCGGCUUAUCAGCUUGUUGGUGGGGUAGUGGCUUACCAAGGCUUUGACGGCUAGCCGGCCUGAGAGGGUGACCGGCCACAUUGGGACUGAGAGACGGCCCAGACUCCUACGGGAGGCAGCAGUGGGGAAUAUUGCACAAUGGGCGGAAGCCUGAUGCAGCAACGCCGCGUGCGGGAUGACGGCCUUCGGGUUGUAAACCGCUUUCGCCUGUGACGAAGCGUGAGUGACGGUAAUGGGUAAAGAAGCACCGGCUAACUACGUG